AUUAUACUCCCUCCGUCCCAAAAUUCUUGUCUUAGAUUUGUCUAGAUACGGAUGUAUCUAAUACUAGAACGUGACUUGAUACAUCCGUAUUUAGACAAAUCUAAGACAAGAAUUUUUGGACGGAGGGAGUAUAUA
rnacentral:pre_miRNA from 1 species